rnacentral:rRNA from 1 species
UACGUAGGGUGCGAGCGUUAAUCGGAAUUACUGGGCGUAAAGCGUGCGCAGGCGGGCUUUUAAGCCAGACGUGAAAUCCCCGGGCUCAACCUGGGAAUGGCGUUUGGGACUGGAAGUCUGGAGUGCGGCAGAGGAGACUGGAAUUCCUGGUGUAGCAGUGAAAUGCGUAGAUAUUGGAAAGAACACCGAUGGCGAAGGCACUCUACUGGGCUAUUACUGACACUCAGAGACGAAAGCUAGGGGAGCAAAUGGG